rnacentral:tRNA from 3 species
GCGGACGUGGCGCAGCCGGUAGCGCGCGACGUUGCCAACGUCGAGGUCACGGGUUCGAACCCCGUCGUCCGCU